ACUCGUGAGACUCCUACGGGGAGGCAGCAGUGGGGGAAUCAUUGCGCAAUGGGCGAAAGCCUGACGCAGCCAUGCCGCGUGAAUGAUGAAGGUCUUAGGAUUGUAAAAUUCUUUCACCGGGGACGAUAAUGACGGUACCCGGAGAAGAAGCCCCGGCUAACUUCGUGCCAGCAGCCGCGGUAAUACGAAGGGGGCUAGCGUUGCUCGGAAUUACUGGGCGUAAAGGGAGCGUAGGCGGACAUUUUAAGUCAGGGGUGAAAUCCCGGGGCUCAACCUCGGAAUUGCCUUUGAUACUGGGUGUCUUGAGUAUGAGAGAGGUGUGUGGAACUCCGAGUGUAGAGGUGAAAUUCGUAGAUAUUCGGAAGAACACCAGUGGCGAAGGCGACACACUGGCUCAUUACUGACGCUGAGGCUCGAAAGCGUGGGGAGCAAACAGGAUUAGAUACCCUGGUAG
rnacentral:rRNA from 1 species